rnacentral:lncRNA from 1 species
UAGUCGGCGCUCGGCUGCCGGUGACGCCUCCUCUGCGCGCAGUGCGGCGCCGCCGGCGCUCUCUGCCGCUUCUCGCAGGAGGGCGGCCCCAUCCCGGUCAACAAGAACCUGUGGUCGCUGUCGUUUGUGCUGGCGCUGUCGGGCCUGGCGUCGGCGCUGCUGGCCGCCCUGCACCUGCUGGUGGACGUGUUCGCUGUCUGGCGAGGCCGGCCCUUCCACUACGCCGGGCUGAACGCCAUCGUCCUGUACCUGGGUCACGAGCUGGUGGGCGGCCUGUUCCCGGUGUCGCUGCGCUCCGUGCUGCCGCCAGCCGGCACGCACGCCGCCGCGCUGCUCAACAGCCUCUGGGCCGCCCUCGUGUGGCUGCUGGUCGCCUGGCGCCUCUACAAACAUGGCCUCUUCAUUGCGCUGUGAGUGCAGCGAAUGAGCGCUUUCGGCUGCUGAAGACAGGCCGCGGCUGCAAUGGCCGCCUGUGGGCGGAGCGCUAUUGGCGGCGACUUUGAGCCGGCGCCACAGCUCGGGCGCCACCUCCACCUCCAUCAUUAGCCGCAGCUCGUACCAUACACCCGGCAACCGACAAGUGCGCUAUUAAGGGCUCUCUGUAGAUUGUGUAAUACUGUGGGUUUGUCUAUCCGUACGCUGUAAAAAUGUUCACUGAUUUCUUAGUUACCCGGCCACUUUUCACCAGCAAGAUGCGAGUAGACUUGAAGUCUACAUACUCGCAUUUUGUUAGUGAAAAGUGAAGUCUACUCACAUUUUGUUAGUGAAAAAUCGAGUUUACUCAAUGUAAACUAAACAUUAUGUUUAUUCAAUGCGAGUAAACAUAAUUGGAGUACUUGAAGUCUACUCGAAUUUAAUGCAGUGAAAAGUGGGCGAAUAACUAGGAAAUUAGUAAACACUGUUUACAGUGUAGGAGGUAUGUCGAGCAUUGAAGGAGGACUGGCGUGGCCGCACGGCGGCUGCCGGCGCGGUGCGGUGCGUCUACUCGGGCAGCGGAGAUCAGACGCUGGCCGGCACUCCCACUGGCAGUGUCACCCUGUCGCGCAGGGUCCGUGCGGGCUCUCGGAGCACCUUGUGUUCCUGAUCGAAGCAUGCAGACCGUUUGUCUGUCUUCGGCUCGUACGUCGCUAGCGGACCCGUGCUGCUGUCAACUUGAGCUUUGCUUAUUCGCCGCCUCAGCGCUGGCACACCGUGUCCGUUGUAUGCCGUAUCGGCCAUAUGCUGUGUCUGAGCCGAGUACGCCAGCACGGCGGACUGGCCGGCACCGUCCGUGCAUGUACAGGCGGGCCACCGGCGGCCGUGUGCGGCCGAUGAGUGGCUCUGGGCGCCAAGCUGGUCCGCCCCGCGGCCGGCACCACAUGCGUGCCAUUACUGUUUAGUAUUUACAGUGGAAAGUCCGCCGGCCGAUGUCGCCCUGUUACGCGGCUCGUGAUUGGCAGGUGUAUGGACGUUUAUAGCUGGGGAGGAUGGAGUGUAUGGACGCCGGUCCGUGCCGGUCCGACCAUUUACCGGUGCCAGAAGACAUGGGCUGUCCGAAGGGGGGAGGAGGCAUGGGCCCCUUUUGGUCAAGAAAGGUGCGGCCGUACUAUCUUUUGGCCCCACCAUUUGCAAACCGAACAAAAGUCUAAGAAGUGUUUUUUUAUGUCUAAGUUGAUUAUACAUCUUUGCUUUGCCAUCAAAUAAAUUUAUAGACGGUCUCAGUUUC